rnacentral:tRNA from 1 species
GGCUGUGGCUCAGUGGUAGAGCGCUAGCCUAGCACAUGUGAGGCACUGGGUUUGAUCCUCAGCACCA